rnacentral:tRNA from 1 species
GACGCCGUAGCGCUCAAUAGGCAGAGCCAGCCAAUCCUCCCCCAGGAGUUAGGGCCGGGUCCGGGCUCGAGUCCCGGCGGCGUCG